AAGUCGUAACAAGGUUUCCGUAGGUGAACCUGCGGAAGGAUCAUUAGUGAAUUAUAGGGCGUCUACUUGUAGAGCCUGACCUCCACUUCUAACACUGUGCACUUGAUGGCGAGGUAAUUAUGAUUAGGCCUUCGGGCUUAUGAUGAGAACCUCGCGGCUUCAUUUUAAACAUUAGUCAAAGUAUGUAAAGAAAUUUAAAACAAAAAAA
rnacentral:misc_RNA from 1 species